rnacentral:lncRNA from 1 species
UUCAUCUCUCUUCCUCCCCCGUGUCUCUCUCUCUUCCCUCACGACUCUCUCUCACUCUCUAACCCUCGAACUGUACGGACGAGACCAAAUUCCUUCGAACUUCCACGGAUCGAAGCUAAAAAGGUAUGGUUCUUCAUCCUUUCGUCGUCCUGAGUUGAAUGGUUCUAGUUUUAGGACGUGAAACCUUCGAAAUCACGUGAAACCCGAACCCCAGUUUUAUGUCACUAUUCAUGCAAUCAUGUUAUGUUGAUUUCCAGGGAAUUCUAAGCUCACAGUGAGCUUAGUGAGGUCCUAAGGAAGCUCGGGGACGUUCGUUUGGAAGUUUUGGACGUCGGGAUCGUGUAGUUCGAAGUUGGCCGAUUUCUUGGAAUUUCUUCGGUGAGAUUUCGUGAUUUUUAGAGCCUUAAAGUAGUGUAACGUGAAACUACAUGUUUAGGGCUUCAUUUUGAUAUAAAAUACGAA